rnacentral:rRNA from 1 species
GACGAACGCUGGCGGCGUGCCUAACACAUGCAAGUCGAGCGGAGAAGGCAGUAAUGUCUUUUCAGCGGCGGACGGGUGAGUAACACGUGGGUAACCUGCCUCGAAAUGGGGGAUAGCCUUCCGAAAGGAAGAUUAAUACCGCAUAACCUCGGAUCUCCGCAUGGAGGACCGAGAAAAGGAGAAAUCCGUUUCGAGAUGGACCCGCGGCGCAUUAGCUAGUUGGUGAGGUAACGGCCCACCAAGGCGACGAUGCGUAGCCGACCUGAGAGGGUGAUCGGCCACAUUGGAACUGAGACACGGUCCAGACUCCUACGGGAGGCAGCAGUGGGGAAUAUUGCACAAUGGGCGAAAGCCUGAUGCAGCAACGCCGCGUGAGUGAUGAAGGCCUUCGGGUCGUAAAGCUCUUUGAUCAGGGACGAUAAUGACGGUACCUGAAAAACAAGCCACGGCUAACUACGUGCCAGCAGCCGCAGUAAAAC